AGUCGUGCGCAACUGCCACUCCUUGUGUAAUGAGGCGUAUUUUUAAAGCAGAGGUUCCCAACCAUUACCAUUUUCUUUCGGAAAAAUCUCAUGGCACGCCAC